rnacentral:rRNA from 1 species
GAUGAACGCUGGCGGCGUGCCUAAUACAUGCAAGUCGAGCGAACAGACGAUGAGCUUGUGCCUCUGACGUUAGCCGCGGACGGGUGUGUAACAUGUGUAUAACCUACCUAUAUUACUGGUAUAACUUCGAGAAACCGGAGCUAACACCGGAUAAGAUAUUGAACCGCAUUGUGCAAUAGUGAAAGACGGUGGUUCGGUCACGUAUAGAUGCUUCUGCGCCGCUUUAGCUAGUUGGUCAGGUAACGGCUUAUCAAGGCUACGAUGCGUAGCCGACGUGAGAGAGUGAUAGGCCACCCGGGAACUGAAACACGGACCAGACUCCUACGAGAGGGAGCAGACGGGUACCUGCCGCAGUGGGCGAAAGCCUGGCAGAGCAGGGCCGCGUGAGUGAUGAAGGUCUUGGGAUCGUGAAGCUCUGUUAUUAGGGAAAAACAAAUGUGUAAGUAACUAUACACGUCUUGACGGUAACUAGUAAGAAAGCACCGGCUAACUACGUG